CUCAGAUUGAACGCUGGCGGCAGGCCUAACACAUGCAAGUCGAGCGGCAGCGGAAAGUAGCUUGCUACUUUGCCGGCGAGCGGCGGACGGGUGAGUAAUGUCUGGGAAACUGCCUGAUGGAGGGGGAUAACUACUGGAAACGGUAGCUAAUACCGCAUAACGUCGCAAGACCAAAGAGGGGGACCUUCGGGCCUCUUGCCAUCAGAUGUGCCCAGAUGGGAUUAGCUAGUAGGUGGGGUAACGGCUCACCUAGGCGACGAUCCCUAGCUGGUCUGAGAGGAUGACCAGCCACACUGGAACUGAGACACGGUCCAGACUCCUACGGGAGGCAGCAGUGGGGAAUAUUGCACAAUGGGCGCAAGCCUGAUGCAGCCAUGCCGCGUGUAUGAAGAAGGCCUUCGGGUUGUAAAGUACUUUCAGCGGGGAGGAAGGCGAUAAGGUUAAUAACCUUGUCGAUUGACGUUACCCGCAGAAGAAGCACCGGCUAACUCCGUGCCAGCAGCCGCGGUAAUACGGAGGGUGCAAGCGUUAAUCGGAAUUACUGGGCGUAAAGCGCACGCAGGCGGUCUGUCAAGUCGGAUGUGAAAUCCCCGGGCUCAACCUGGGAACUGCAUUCGAAACUGGCAGGCUAGAGUCUUGUAGA
rnacentral:rRNA from 1 species